AGUAGUUUGAUCAUGGCUCAGGAUGAACGCUGGCGGCGUGCUUAACACAUGCAAGUCGAACGAGGUUAAUUGAGCGGAUUACUUCGGUAUGAAGCACUUUUAACUGAGUGGCGGACGGGUGAGUAACGCGUGGGUAACCUGCCGUAUGCAGGGGGACAACAGUUGGAAACGACUGCUAAUACCGCAUAACCCGCUAGUACCGCAUGGUACAGACGGAAAAGAUUUAUCGGCAUACGAUGGACCCGCGUCUGAUUAGCUUGUUGGUGAGGUAACGGCCCACCAAGGCGACGAUCAGUAGCCGAACUGAGAGGUUGACCGGCCACAUUGGGACUGAGACACGGCCCAGACUCC
rnacentral:rRNA from 1 species